UUAAAGGACAAGAACAUAAAGAGAAGCCUCCAAAAAUACCGUGGCCCAACUCUCCUUCCUUCCUCUUAAUCUUUAUUUCAUGAGUAGCAUCAGACAUAAUCAAAGGGCAGUUAUUUUAUUAAACAGAUGCUCACUUUGGUUAAAUAUUCUGGGAUUACCUGAGACCCAUUCUGUACAUAAAUGUCUUUUAUGACGUCUAAAGAAAUUGUCAAUAUUCUGAAAGGAGGCUUUUAACAAAA
rnacentral:lncRNA from 1 species